rnacentral:rRNA from 1 species
AGAACGAACGCUGGCGGCAUGCCUAAUACAUGCAAGUCGAACGAACACUUCGGUGUUAGUGGCGCACGGGUGCGUAACGCGUGGGAAUCUGCCCUUGGGUUCGGAAUAACAGUUGGAAACGACUGCUAAUACCGGAUGAUAUCGAAAGAUCAAAGAUUUAUCGCCCAGGGAUGAGCCCGCGUAGGAUUAGCUAGUUGGUGAGGUAAAGGCUCACCAAGGCGACGAUCCUUAGCUGGUCUGAGAGGAUGAUCAGCCACACUGGGACUGAGACACGGCCCAGACUCCUACGGGAGGCAGCAGUAGGGAAUAUUGGACAAUGGGCGCAAGCCUGAUCCAGCAAUGCCGCGUGAGUGAUGAAGGCCUUAGGGUUGUAAAGCUCUUUUACCCGAGAUGAUAAUGACAGUAUCGGGAGAAUAAGCCCCGGCUAACUCCGUGCCAGCAGCCGC